UUGAUCCUGGCUCAGGACGAACGCUGGCGGCGUGCCUAAUACAUGCAAGUCGAACGCUUUUUCUUUCACCGGAGCUUGCUCCACCGAAAGAAAAAGAGUGGCGAACGGGUGAGUAACACGUGGGUAACCUGCCCAUCAGAAGGGGAUAACACUUGGAAACAGGUGCUAAUACCGUAUAACACUACUUUCCGCAUGGAAGAAAGUUGAAAGGCGCUUUUGCGUCACUGAUGGAUGGACCCGCGGUGCAUUAGCUAGUUGGUGAGGUAACGGCUCACCAAGGCAACGAUGCAUAGCCGACCUGAGAGGGUGAUCGGCCACACUGGGACUGAGACACGGCCCAGACUCCUACGGGAGGCAGCAGUAGGGAAUCUUCGGCAAUGGACGAAAGUCUGACCGAGCAACGCCGCGUGAGUGAAGAAGGUUUUCGGAUCGUAAAACUCUGUUGUUAGAGAAGAACAAGGAUGAGAGUAGAACGUUCAUCCCUUGACGGUAUCUAACCAGAAAGCCACGGCUAACUACGUGCCAGCAGCCGCGGUAAUACGUAGGUGGCAAGCGUUGUCCGGAUUUAUUGGGCGUAAAGCGAGCGCA
rnacentral:rRNA from 1 species